UCAGUCUUCCCGCACCGGGGACUCACCCAGAUCUCUUGGGUCUGCCCCUACCUGGCUUCCAGCUGCCCCAGCUGUCACCGCCCACCCCAGGAUGCAAUGGCGCAGCUCCCCCGGCUGAGCCGUUUGGGUGCUCCCUCUCUUUGGGACCCAGCCUCCCCUGCUCCCACCUCAGGCCCCAGACCUCGGCUUUGGGAAGGUCAAGAUGUGCUGGCAAGAUGGACUGAUGGGCUCCUGUACUUGGGCACCAUCAAAAAGGUGGACAGUGCGCGGGAGGUGUGUCUGGUCCAGUUUGAGGAUGAUUCCCAGUUUCUAGUUCUAUGGAAGGACAUCAGCCCAGCCGCCCUUCCUGGUGAGGAGCUCCUCUGUUGUGUGUGU
rnacentral:lncRNA from 1 species